rnacentral:ncRNA from 1 species
GAGAGCCGGAUGAUACAGAAAUUGGUCAAGUCCGGUUCGGAGAGGGGGUGUUGGAAAAGUAGCUGGCAACAGCCAACUCGCUGGCAUCCUACUCUAC